rnacentral:rRNA from 1 species
GACGUAGGGUGCAAGCGUUGUCCGGAAUUAUUGGGCGUAAAGAGCUCGUAGGCGGUCUGUCGCGUCUGCUGUGAAAUCCCGAGGCUCAACCUCGGGCUUGCAGUGGGUACGGGCAGGCUAGAGUGCGGUAGGGGAGAAUGGAACUCCUGGUGUAGCGGUGGAAUGCGCAGAUAUCGGGAGGAACACCAGUGGCGAAGGCGACUACCUGGCCUGUUCUUGACGCUGAGGCGCGAAAGCUAGGGGAGCAAACGGG